rnacentral:lncRNA from 1 species
AAUUAGAGAAAGUGAUGUGGUAAUGGAAGAAGAGGUCAGAGAGGGAGAUUUGAAGAUGCUGCACUUCUGGCCUUGAAUAUGGAAUCACGAGAAACAGGACCUUGCCCUGUCACUCAGGAUGGAGUUCAGUGGUCCAAUUAUGGCUCAUUGUAGCCUCAAACUCCCAGGCUCAAGCAGUCCUACCAUGUCAGCCUUCCCAGUAGCUGGGACCACAGGUAAGCAUCGUGACACUCAGUGAAUUUUGUUUUUAUUUUUUUGUAGAGAUGGGGCCUCAGUAUGUUGCCACGGCUGACCUUGAACUCCUGCACUCAAGGGAUUUUCCUGCCCUGGCCUCCCAAAGUAUUGGUAUUACAGGCAUGAGCCAUUGUGCCCACCGUCUCUGGUUCUUAACCUUCUACUUCCCUCUUCCAGUUUUAAAGAAUGCUUGUAAUUACAUGGGCUCUCCUAGAUACUCCAGGAUAAUCUUGUUUUAAGGUCAGCUGAUGAGCAACAUUAAUUUUAUCUGCACUCUUAAUUCCCCCUUCCUAUGUAAUUGUGCUGUGUAACAUAGGACAUGAGCAAUUGGUGGGGGUGGGGGUUAUUACUUUGGCCACCACAGUAUUUUAUGCCAGGUACUCAGCUAAGCACUGGUGAAUUAAGCAUGAAUAACACACACUCCCUAAUCUCCAUCCAUUCAUGGGAGGAGCACCUCACCUGCCAUGCUCCUGAGAAUCUGGGGAGUCAAAGAAGUCUUCCAUGAGGAGGUGAUGCCAAAGCGGACAAGUGACAGAGUCGAAGCUAGCUAGGAAGAGAGUAGAGGUUUAAGGGGAAGCGUAUUAUAAGCAGAGGAUAUCACCCACUUCAGAGACUCCCAGAGGAGAAAGAGUGUGUGUUCAAAGGGCAGAUGAGGCUCAGUUGGACUCCAUAGCAGAUGAAAUGGAGAGGGGCAAGCAAUGAGGCUGCCUUGCAAGGCAGGGCAGAGCAGGGGCUGUUGAAGGGUUUGGACUUAAUCCCUGAGGCAAGGAGAAGUGAUGUAAAUGGGGGAGUAACAUGAUGAGAUUAAUGGAUUAGAGACAUGGCUCAGGCUGCUGUAGAGAAGGCACCAGGGAGAGCAGAUGGCUCAAUGGGUGUGUAGGAGACCUCUCACUGAGUUUAGGGAGAGGUUUUUAAAACAGAAGAAGUUUGAGUAAUUUAAAUGAUGAUGGGAAGGAGCUAAAAGUAGGGGAUAGGUUAAAGAUACAGGAAAGUGGGAGGAAGAACUGACAAGUGAGGUUCCAGAGAGGGCAGGAGAAGAGGAGAUUCCCAUAGGGGGAUUAACACUUUCUUUUCUUUUUUCUUUCUAAGACAGGGUCUCACUCUGUCGUCCAGGCUGGAGUGCAGUGGCACAAUCUUGGCUCACUGUAGUGUAGGCUUCCCAGGCUCAAGGGAUUCUCCCACCCCAGACUCCCAAGUAGCUGGAACUACGGGUGUGCACCACCACCACACCUGGCUAAUGUUUCUUUUUUUGGUAGACACAGAGUCUCACUAUUUUGCGCUGAUUGGUCUCCAACUCCUGGCCUCAAGCGAUCCUCCUGCCUAGGCUUCCCAAAUUGCUGGGAUUACAGGCAUGAGCCAUAAUGCCUGGCCUCUGCUAGUUCUGUAUUCUCUAGAGUUGUCUUUACUUUGUGCUAGCGUGUCCCUCAUUGUGCUAAUCCUCUGUAAAAAUUAAUACCUUUUUUUCUUUUCGAGAUGGAGUUUCACUCUUGUUGCCCAGGCUGGAGUGCAAUGGCGCUAUCUCGGCUCAGCGCAACCUCCACCUGCCGGGUUCAAGCGAUUCUCCUGCCUCAGCCUCCCGAGUAAUUGGGAUUACAGGCAUGUGCCACCAUGCCCAGCUAAUUUUGUAUUUUUAGUAGAGAUGGGGUUUCUCCAUGCUGGUCAGGCUGGUCUCAAACUCCUGACCUCAGGUGAUCUGCCUUGGCCUCCCAAAGUGCUGGGAUUACAGGCAUGAGCCAUUGUGCCUGGCCAAAAUUAAUACUUUUUAUAUUAAAUUUACAUAUAUAUACAUUUUUUUCUUUUUGAUACCGGGUCUCACACUGUCACCCAGGCUGGAGUACAGUGGCAUAACCUCUGCUCACUGCAGCCUCCACCUGCCAGGCUCAAGCAAUUCUCCUGCCUCAGCCUCCCGAGUAGCUGGGAUUACAGGUAAGUGCCACCACACCCAGCUGAUUUUUGUGUUUUUUGUAGAGACGAGGUUUCGCCAUGUUUCCCAGACUGUUCUCAAACUCCUGAGCUCAAAGCAGUCCACCCACCUUGGCCUCCCAAAGUGCUGGGAUUACAGGUGUGAGCCACCUUGCUCAUUCUAGUUUAAACUUUGGAGUGGUUUGUGUCUCCUGAUUGGACUCCUGCAAAUACAGAAUUGAUGCUAGGAAGGGUACCAGGAGAUAGACGCACACAGAUGGGAUUUGGGAAUAGGU